rnacentral:tRNA from 2 species
GGAGAUAUAGCUCAGUGACAGAGUGCUUGCCUAGCAUGCAAAGCUCUGGGUUCAAUCCCCAGUACCACAA